UCACAGUUGCCUGAUUCCAUGUGGAGGGGUGUUCUCCUCGCUCAAAACCACUCCAACCUGAUCUGAACCAUCUCAGCCCAGAGCCAGCGGAUGGGCUUUUGGACAGUGACUGGGUCGUGAGAGCACUAACUUCAUGAUGAAAAGUCGAACGGAAAUGGAAAGCAGCAGUGGCUAACGAAAUUGGAAGGCACACAUGUCAGGCAGCGCUUCUGGGAAAGCGCUCACCGUGCCAGGUCUAACGAGCCUCGGUGGCAGCAAAGUGUGUGGCAGUCUCGGGGGUCAAGCUGAGCACCUACCGGCUUAUGAAGC